AGCGAACGCUGGCGGCAGGCCUAAUACAUGCAAGUCGAACGGCUCUUCGGAGCAGUGGCGGACGGGUGAGUAACGCGUGGGAAUGUGCCCUUAGGUACGGAACAACACAGGGAAACUUGUGCUAAUACCGUAUGUGCCCUUCGGGGGAAAGAUUUAUCGCCUUUGGAGCAGCCCGCGUUGGAUUAGCUAGUUGGUGAGGUAAAGGCUCACCAAGGCGACGAUCCAUAGCUGGUCUGAGAGGAUGACCAGCCACACUGGGACUGAGACACGGCCCAGACUCCUACGGGAGGCAGCAGUAGGGAAUCUUGCGCAAUGGGCGAAAGCUUGACGCAGCCAUGCCGCGUGUAUGAUGAAGGUCUUAGGAUUGUAAAAUACUUUCACCGGGGAAGAUAAUGACGGUACCCGGAGAAGAAGCCCCGGCUAACUUCGUGCCAGCAGCCGCAGUAAUAC
rnacentral:rRNA from 1 species